CGGCCUGGUAAAUCCUCUGUGAAAUCGUUGGGCUCAACUCAACGGUGUGCAGGGGAGACUGCCAGGCUAGAGACCGGGAAGGGUCGGAGGUAUUCCGUGGGGAGCGGUAAAAUGCUAUAAUCCACGGAGGACCGCCGAUGGCGAAAGCAUCCGGCCGGAACGGGUCUGACGGUGAGGGACGAAAGCCAGGGGAGCAAAACGGAUUAGAUACCCGCGUAGUCCUGGCCGUAAACGCUGUGGGCUAGGUGUUGCACAAUCUACGGGAUUGUGCAGUGUCCAAAUGAAGAUGAUAAGCCCACCGCCUGGGAA
rnacentral:rRNA from 1 species